rnacentral:rRNA from 1 species
GGAAUACGCUCUGGAAACGGAGAACAAAUCCCGAUGUACAGGAAGGAGGCAUCUUCUUUCUGUGAAACAUCCUUUAGGGGAUGGGGCGCGGAUGGACCUGCGGUGCAUUAGUUGGUUGGCGGGGUAAAGGCCCACCAAGACGAUGAUGCAUAGCCGGCCUGAGAGGGCGGACGGCCACAUUGGGACUGAGACACGGCCCAGACUCCUGCGGGAGGCAGCAGUAGGGAAUUUUCGUCAAUGGGCGCAAGCCUGAACGAGCGAUGCCGCGUGAGUGAAGAAGGCCUUCGGGUCGUAAAGCUCUGUUGCGGGGGAAAAAAGGCAGCAUCAGGAAAUGGGUGCUGACUGAUGGUGCCCCGCCAGAAAGUCACGGCUAACUACGUGCCAGCAGCCGCGGUAAUACGUAGGUGGCGAGCGUUAUCCGGAAUGAUUGGGCGUAAAGGGUGCGCAGGCGGUCCUGCAAGUCUGGAGUGAAACGCAUGAGCUCAACUCAUGCAUGGCUUUGGAAACUGGAGGACUGGAGAGCAGGAGAGGGCGGUGGAACUCCAUGUGUAGCGGUAAAAUGCGUAGAUAUAUGGAAGAACACCAGUGGCGAAGGCGGCCGCCUGGCCUGUUGCUGACGCUGAGGCACGAAAGCGUGGGGAGCAAAUAGGAUUAGAUACCCUAGUAGUCCACGCCGUAAAC